GAUGAACGCUGGCGGCGUGCUUAACACAUGCAAGUCGAACGGAAAGGCCCAAGCUUGCUUGGGUCCUCGAGUGGCGAACGGGUGAGUAACACGUGGGUGAUCUGCCCUGCACUUCGGGAUAAGCCUGGGAAACUGGGUCUAAUACCGGAUAGGACGAUGGUUUGGAUGCCAUUGUGGAAAGUUUUUUCGGUGUGGGAUGAGCUCGCGGCCUAUCAGCUUGUUGGUGGGGUAAUGGCCUACCAAGGCGUCGACGGGUAGCCGGCCUGAGAGGGUGUACGGCCACAUUGGGACUGAGAUACGGCCCAGACUCCUACGGGAGGCAGCAGUGGGGAAUAUUGCACAAUGGGCGCAGGCCUGAUGCAGCGACGCCGCGUGGGGGAUGACGGCCUUCGGGUUGUAAACUCCUUUCGCUAGGGACGAAGCGUUUUUGUGACGGUACCUGGAGAAGAAGCACCGGCUAACUACGUG
rnacentral:rRNA from 1 species